UACGAAGGGGGCUAGCGUUGCUCGGAAUGACUGGGCGUAAAGGGCGCGUAGGCGGCUGGCACAGCCAGAUGUGAAAUUCCCGGGCUUAACCUGGGGGCUGCAUUUGAUACGUGUGAUCUAGAGUGAGGAAGAGGGUCGUGGAAUUCCCAGUGUAGAGGUGAAAUUCGUAGAUAUUGGGAAGAACACCGGUGGCGAAGGCGGCGACCUGGUCCUUGACUGACGCUGAGGCGCGAAAGCGUGGGGAGCAAACAGG
rnacentral:rRNA from 1 species